GCAGCCGCCGGCGCCGCCGUACCCGCCGUACGCGCACUAUGAUGGUACAACAACAUUAGCGAGCGAGUACGCGUACGCGGCGCCCUACUCGCAGUACUCGCCCUACGGAGGCCCCUACACACACUCAGCCGCCACGGGGCUACUGUCCAAGUGAUAUCAACGGACGCCGUGCGAGCAGUAGCCGUCGGCGACUCACAACGAAACCAAGUGAUAAAAGACACUUAUACCAUAUGUGAGAAUUUUAGUUUAAUACCUUAUCAUUCCUUUAGUAAAUCUCUUAUUGUGUAGAUAAAUUAAUAUAUGUACAAUUCAUUAUACGUUCUGUUAUAAAUGUUAAUUUCAGAGGUCAGUACGCUCUAACUUUGCUUUCUCAAAAUUAUUUUUAACUCCAACAGUUCAUUUAUACUCAUUAUUGUUUAGUUAAAUGAAAGAAUAUAUUGAAUGAGAGAGCCAAAGUGUAUAAGAUAACUUCAUUAAGACUAAGAUGUAAAUAAUGUAUUUUAAAUGAAACUAAAUGUAAUUCAUUCAAUGUCAUUAUUAGGGUUAAGUAUUACCUUUUUUCUUUUACCUCAGUAGUGAUACAAUGCGAGGACAAUGGGUGUUUUUUUAGCCUGAAAAAUGCUGGUCACAAAAUCAAUAUUUCUUGAAAAAAUCCAUGACAUCUUUUCCAUUAUAUGAUACAGUUAUUAAAAAAAAUAAAGAUCAAAGUAAAUGUUUUAUCUUAACUUGUCGUAUGUGCCAAGAACUUUAUCUGGAUGUAAGAAAUGUUUAUUUGAUUCAGAUAAAGCCAGUGGAAAAGUCCAGUGAAAUGAAAAGAAAAAGGCCAGUAGUUUUAAAAAAGGCAACACUCCAAUUUUGCGCAUUGUCCUUCGCAAUACUUUUAGAUUUUUGAGCCUUAUUGAAAAAAAAACUUCAUUUAUUUUAUUUAAGCUGUCCUCAAUGCACAACGUCAUAGAUCUUUUAUAACAUUUAAUGUUGUUAUCAUUCGUAAUAAGUUACUUAACUUAUUUUUUGUACUUAUUGUUAUAAAUAUUAAGUGUGUAUGUGAAUACUCUUGAAAUUAUAGCUUCGGAACAAAUAUAUGAAAGUCAAAUAUGUAUUUAAGUAUAGUUUAAUUUGAAAUUACUAUGAGAUUACUUGUUUCUUUUUUUACUUUUUAUAAAAAGUUAGUUCUAGUUAUGAUUACGCAUUUUAGCUCGAGAAAUAUAUUUUUAAAUGAAGUCGACUUCAUUAAUUUGGUGAUUAGAAAUAUAUUUUCAGAGUAUGUUUUAAUGCGUUGAGUUAAUAUAUACAAAUGAUAUGUUCAAACAUUUUAGAAUAUAUUGUUUUGAGGAUAUAAGUUGAGAAAAUCUUAUCCUUUCCGUCCAAGGUUUUUAUUAUUUUUAUUAUAUAAUUUAAAUGUUUUUUUUUUUGUUGUAAAUAAUGCCUACGUUGUUCCGCUACUACAUUUUCAUUAGUCAGAAUAAUAUGCUUUUAAAUAUGUUGUAAACAACCGACAUACAGUUUAGAGGAACGCCAAAGACUUAUGUGUAAUGUCUUGUAACAGUCCAGUGUAUUAAAAAUAAUUUAUUUUUUAUAUGAUGCAAUAUAUUUUCGCCAAAGAAAUGUAAUAUACAGAGCGGUGGGUAUUUGGAUACAAAAAAA